GAAUAUUUACAUUUGCUCCAAACACAUGUUCAAGUCAUUAAGACUUGUGAUAUAUACUUGUGAUUUGCUACUUCUUGUUGUCUUGCAAUUGGCUCUGGAGAGACCAAAGUACACAAAAGUGAUACUUUAUGGCCAUGUUCUAUUUAAAGAUAGUCCAUUAAAAAGGAAAAAAAAAAAAGGAAAAAAAGGAAAGAAAAAGAGUGGUUUGUUCUACCUCAAUCUCAAUACCUCAAUAAAAGGGUUGUAGUUUCAUUUCUCUGUCUCUUUAAAUCUGGGCCAGGUCCACAGCUGUGCCAUGAAGAUCAGGGUGCUGAGCUCUUCCUCCAGGGACUGCUCUAUUGCCAGCGCUGUUUUCGAGCUUGCAGAUGUGUGUGAAUUCCUGUGGCAACUGCUGGGCAGAGAUGCAUGCUGGAAGUCAGUCCCUCAAUACGACAUGCUUUAUCCUGCGCGUCAGAAAGCCGAGGACCACAUACACUGUGCUUCCCAGUUCAUCAUUCAGCUGACUCCCUUGGAAAGUAGGAGGAGCUACAUGCUGGAGAUGUGGUGUGAAGAAUCUGAAAAGCUGACCACCCGGUGUGUUGAGUCCAUAUAGCACACUGUACCAUUACUCAGGAGCAGAUUUGCUUGUAAUAAGAAGGAAACAAAGCAACUAAAGCUUUGGAGACCUUGGGAAUUCUAUCAAACUGAAUGGAAAAUGCUCACUUGAAAUUAGUGCCUAUUUUUAACUGAAUGCUAAGGUUUCAACGGGUGACUUUGACCUGCAGUGAAUGAAGCAGAGUGUUUAAGGACAUCUGUCCUUAAAGUGAGAAGUAGAGCUGAUGUGACAUACACCAGACAAAGUGGAGAAGCAGAGAAAUAAAAGCUUUUUUUUUUUUUUUUCUUUUCUUUUC
rnacentral:lncRNA from 1 species